AGUUUAAUGAUGAUUAUCUUUUUGAUUGCUUUUUGAAGCAAUAUAUGAAAAAACACACGUCACUGACUCUGAAAGCU